rnacentral:lncRNA from 1 species
UUAUUUUUCUUAUAGGUGGUAUAUGCACUGCCAGCGAAGAUAUUAUCUACAUGAGUGAGAACCGAUCAUGUGCGGUGAUUAUGGUUACGACCAAACUUCGUGGUGAACUGCACACGUUUGACCUACGAGUAAGAAAUUCUUCUGUAGCACACGGCCCUGGUCAUGACUGUAUUGCAAAGUACAGGGAACAAGAGGUGCGGGAAAAAGUGAUCUACAAGCGGCAGUGUCAGCACAUACUUGACAAGCAAGCGAAUUCCCCUGUACACCAGCCAAUACCGUAAAAGUAGGAUUCUGCCAAUAAAAGAUGUACAUAUAGCUGUU